UACGGAGGGUGCGAGCGUUGUCCGGAAUCACUGGGCGUAAAGGGCGCGUAGGCGGCUUGGCAAGUCGGGUGUGAAAUCCCUCAGCUCAACUGAGGAAGUGCGCCCGAAACUGCUUUGCUUGAGUGUUGGAGAGGAUGGCGGAAUUCCCCAAGUAGAGGUGAAAUUCGUAGAUAUGGGGAGGAACACCGGUGGCGAAGGCGGCCAUCUGGACGGCAACUGACGCUGAGACGCGAAAGUGUGGGUAGUAAAUAGG
rnacentral:rRNA from 1 species